UUUUUCAUUGGAGAGUUUGAUCCUGGCUCAGGACGAACGCUGGCGGCGUGCUUAACACAUGCAAGUCGAACGGAAAGGCCCCUUUGGGGGUACUCGAGUGGCGAACGGGUGAGUAACACGUGAGUAACCUGCCCUUGACUUCGGGAUAACUUCAGGAAACUGGGGCUAAUAC
rnacentral:rRNA from 1 species